UACGUAGGGUGCAAGCGUUGUCCGGAAUUAUUGGGCGUAAAGAGCUCGUAGGCGGCCUGUCGCGUCGGCUGUGAAAACCCGAGGCUCAACCUCGGGCCUGCAGUCGAUACGGGCAGGCUAGAGUUCGGUAGGGGAGACUGGAAUUCCUGGUGUAGCGGUGAAAUGCGCAGAUAUCAGGAGGAACACCGGUGGCGAAGGCGGGUCUCUGGGCCGAAACUGACGCUGAGGAGCGAAAGCGUGGGGAG
rnacentral:rRNA from 1 species